GACGAACGCUGGCGGCGUGCUUAACACAUGCAAGUCGAACGGAAAGGCCCUGCUUUUGUGGGGUGCUCGAGUGGCGAACGGGUGAGUAACACGUGAGUAACCUGCCCUUGACUUUGGGAUAACUUCAGGAAACUGGGGCUAAUACCGGAUAGGAGCUCCUGCUGCAUGGUGGGGGUUGGAAAGUUUCGGCGGUUGGGGAUGGACUCGCGGCUUAUCAGCUUGUUGGUGGGGUAGUGGCUUACCAAGGCUUUGACGGGUAGCCGGCCUGAGAGGGUGACCGGCCACCUUGGGACUGAACUACGGCCCAGACUCCUACGGGAGGCAGGGGUGGGGAAUAUUACACAGUGGGCGGGAGCCUGAUGCAGCAACGCCGCGUGCGGGAUGACGGCCUUCGGGUUGUAAACCGCUUUCGCCUGUGACGAAGCGUGAGUGACGGUAAUGGGUAAAGAAGCACCGGCUAACUACGUG
rnacentral:rRNA from 1 species